rnacentral:rRNA from 1 species
UCUCAUCCCGGGCCGGCGUCCGCGUGAAUACGUAGGUGGCCAGCGUUGGCCGGAUUUACUGGGCGUAAAGAGCGGGCAGGCGGCCAAGUCAGGCGGAUGUGAAAGCCCCCGGCUUAACUGGGGAGGGUCAUUAGAUACUGCUCGGCUCGAAGACAGGAGAGGGAAGUGGAAUUCCCGGUGUAGUGGUGAAAUGCGUAGAUAUCGGGAGGAACACCAGUGGCGAAGGCGACUUUCUGGCCUGUUCUUGACGCUGAGGCGCGAAAGCUAGGGGAGCAAACGGGAUUAGAUACCCCAGUAGUC